UGCAGAUGUAGAAGGUUUUGAUUCAGUUGUGACAGUGGGAGAAAAAUGAAGUCAUCCGACUGCAUCAAGACCUAAAUCCAGUGGGAGACGUCCUCCAUCCCAGUCACUGACAUCGUCUUCCCUAUCUAGUCCAGAUUUCUUUGAUUCCCCAAGCCCAGAGGAAGAGAAGGAUGAACUUGCAGCCUUGGCGCAGAGAGCAAUAGAGGCUUCCAAGAAAACAUCUAGAUCUGCCACAACAUCACAAAUGCCAGAUAACAGAACUGUUUUGCCACCCAAGCCAGGAGGCUUGAUUGCCAGUGUCAGUUUUUCUCAUGGGGCAUCCGGAGCACCAUCAGCAUUCCAUACAGUUGCCGCUGGCAGCCAC